rnacentral:rRNA from 1 species
GACAGAGGUGCCGAGCGUUAGGCGGAAUCACUGGGCUUAAAGCGUGUGUAGGCGGGCGGGCAAGUACCUUGUGAAAUCCCACGGCUCAACCGUGGAACGGCUGGGUAUACUGCCUGUCUUGAGCCAACUAGGGGCGAGCGGAACAGACGGUGGAGCGGUGAAAUGCGUAGAUAUCGUCUGGAACGCCAAUGGUGAAAACAGGUCGCUGGGGAUGAGCUGACGCUGAGACACGAAAGCCAGGGGAGCAAACGGG